rnacentral:rRNA from 1 species
ACGAACCGUACAAACGUUACUCGGAAUUACUGGGCUUAAAGGGUGCGUAGGCUGCGCGGAAAGUUGGGUGUGAAAUCCCUCGGCUCAACCGGGGAAUUGCAUCCAAAACUACCGUGCUAGAGGGAGAUAGAGGUGAGCGGAACUCAAGGUGGAGCGGUGAAAUGCGUUGAUAUCUUGAGGAACACCGGUGGCGAAGGCGGCUCACUGGAUCUCUUCUGACGCUGAGGCACGAAGGCCAAGGUAGCAAACGGG